GUAGUCCACGCCCUAAACGAUGUCUACUAGUUGUCGGGCCUUAAUUGGCUUGGUAACGCAGCUAACGCGUGAAGUAGACCGCCUGGGGAGUACGGUCGCAAGAUUAAAACUCAAAGGAAUUGACGGGGACCCGCACAAGCGGUGGAUGAUGUGGAUUAAUUCGAUGCAACGCGAAAAACCUUACCUACCCUUGACAUGCCAGGAACCCCGCUGAAAGGUGGGGGUGCUCGAAAGAGAACCUGGGCACAGGUGCUGCAUGGCUGUCGUCAGCUCGUGUCGUGAGAUGUUGGGUUAAGUCCCGCAACGAGCGCAACCCUUAUCAUUAGUUGCUACGCAAGGGCACUCUAAUGAGACUGCCGGUGACAAACCGGAGGAAGGUGGGGAUGACGUCAAGUCCUCAUGGCCCUUAUGGGUAGGGCUUCACACGUCAUACAAUGGUCGGUACAGAGGGCUGCCAACCCGCGAGGGGGAGCUAAUCCCAGAAAACCGAUCGUAGUCCGGAUUGCAGUCUGCAACUCGACUGCAUGAAGUCGGAAUCGCUAGUAAUCGCGGAUCAGCAUGUCGCGGUGAAUACGUUCCCGGGUCUUGUACACACCGCCCGUCACACCAUGGGAGUGGGUUUUACCA
rnacentral:rRNA from 1 species